AUGCUGUUAGUCUUUGUGGCAUUAGCUUUGAAGGGGCUAAAUUUUGUAGGCAUA
rnacentral:tRNA from 1 species